rnacentral:rRNA from 1 species
GACGAACGCUGGCGGCGUGCUUAACACAUGCAAGUCGAACGGAAAGGCCCUGCUUUUGUGGGGUGCUCGAGUGGCGAACGGGUGAGUAACACGUGAGUAACCUGCCCUUGACUUUGGGAUAACUUCAGGAAACUGGGGCUAAUACCGGAUAGGAGCUCCUGCUGCAUGGUGGGGGUUGGAAAGUUUCGGCGGUUGGGGAUGGACUCGCGGCUUAUCAGCUUGUUGGUGGGGUAGUGGCUUACCAAGGCUUUGACGGGUAGCCGGCCUGAGAGGGUGACCGGCCACAUUAGGACUGAGAUACGGCCCAGACUCCUACGGGAGGCAGCAGUGGGGAAUAUUGCACAAUGGGCGGAAGCCUGAUGCAGCAACGCCGCGUGCGGGAUGACGGCCUUCGGGUUGUAAACCGAUUUCGCCUGUGACGAAGCGUGAGUGACGGUAAUGGGUAAAGAAGCACCGGCUAACUACGUG